GUAGGGAAUAUUAGAAAUGGACGAAAGUCUGAUCUAGCAACACCGCGUGUGCGAAGAAGGCCUUCGGGUUGUAAAGCACUUUUUGGAAGGAUUAGGAAGGAAUGUACUUCCAGAAUAAGUCUCGGCUAACUACGUUCCAGCAGCCGCGGUAACACGUAGGAGGCAAACGUUAUCCGGAUUUACUGGGCGUAAAGCGCGUGUAGGUGGUUCUGUAAGUAGGGCGUGAAAGCUCCUGGCUCAACUGGGAGAGGCCGUUCUAAACUGCAGAGCUAGAGGAUGGUAGAGGGAGGUGGAAUUCCGGGUGUAGCGGUGGAAUGCGCAGAUAUCCGGAGGAACACCAGUGGCGAAAGCGGCCUCCUGGACCAUUCCUGACACUCAGACGCGAAAGCUAGGGUAGCAAACGGGAUUAGAAACCCGAGUAGUCC
rnacentral:rRNA from 1 species